UACGUAGGGACCGAGCGUUGUCCGGAAUCAUUGGGCGUAAAGAGCGUGUAGGCGGCUUGUUAAGUCUUGCGUGAAAUCUCGGGGCUCAACCCCGAGCGGUCGUGAGAAACUGGCAGGCUAGAGUGCGGGAGAGGAGAGUGGAAUUCCUGGUGUAGCGGUGAAAUGCGUUGAUAUCAGGAGGAACACCCAUGGCGAAGGCAGCUAACUGGGCAUUAUCUGACGCUGAGGCGCGAAAGCGUGGGUAGCAAACAGG
rnacentral:rRNA from 1 species